rnacentral:rRNA from 1 species
GGGGAAUUUUCCGCAAUGGGCGAGAGCCUGACGGAGCAACGCCGCGUGAGGGAGGAAGGCCUGUGGGUCGUAAACCUCUUUUCUCAGGGAAGAAGUACUGACGGUACCUGAGGAAUCAGCAUCGGCUAACUCCGUGCCAGCAGCCGCGGUAAGACGGAGGAUGCAAGCGUUAUCCGGAAUUAUUGGGCGUAAAGCGUCCGUAGGUGGUAUAGAAAGUCUGUUGUUAAAUCCCACAGCUCAACUGUGGAUCGGCAAUGGAAACUACUAAACUUGAGUGUGGUAGGGGUAGAGGGAAUUCCUAGUGUAGCGGUGAAAUGCGUAGAUAUUAGGAAGAACACCAGUGGCGAAGGCGCUCUACUGGGCCAUAACUGACACUGAUGGACGAAAGCUAGGGGAGCGAAAGGGAUUAGAUACCCCCUGUAGUC